rnacentral:lncRNA from 1 species
AAUCAUAUUCCUCGGCCUCUUGCCAUGGUUGUUGGUGAGAGGUUUCGGGACGGUUAAUAGCCUCUUCCUCCCUCCUCCUGGCACCUAUUUCUAGGCGGAGCAACACGGGAGACAUUUUCAAGCCUUUCUUCCGGUUGCUGGGGUAUCGGAGGUAGAGGCGGUGGCCUUGUCCAAGGCUGGUGUGUCUGCUGUUGCCUAAGCUUCGGUUUAGCGGGGCUAAUUCUAUCAAAUACACUGCGUGUCCUCCUAUGUCUUGACUCUUACUCAUAUGGAGGUGGGAAGUUAUCAUGGUUUAAUGGGACCUCGGUGGGUCGGCCAGAAGCGUAGUUGGAGGAAACAUCGACUUCCACUUCCCUUUCAAAUGGGCUUCUCCCUCGGCUAUAGUCCGACGAGGCAGUUCUAUGACUUUGAAUUUCUUCUUCUUGCUGGUAGUGCCCCUGAGGGGUGUAUGGAGGAAUGGGGAAGCCUUCUUGGCCCUACAUUUGGGCCAUGAGCUCCCUCAUAGCUAAGUUUUGGCUAGCAAUAUCUCUCAUGUUGGCCGCCAUGGCAGCCAUUUCUCUUGACAGUCGUGCCAUUGCCCGCAUUCACAUCUUCUUUGGUGGUGGUGGAGUCUUUGCCGAACUGCUAGGGCAGCGGGUGGAAGAGGCACAUUCACGUUUUCUCUUACCCUCCUGGGGGAUUUGUCUUCGUUUGAACUCAUUUUCUUUUCGUCUGACUCUUCAGAUUUUGCCAAGUUGUGGGGCUUCCUCUUGUUCUUUUUCAAGAACAAAUCCUUUUUCAAGGGAGAUGCCCAAAUGCUCUUCAAUAAGCUUUCACCACAAGGUUGUUUGUGGUUAUGGUAUGGUUUCCCACAGACGUUGCCAAUCUGUUGACCCCAAAAAGUGUUGCCAACAGAUGUCGGACCCACCUGCGCACACGUGAGCGAAGGUCCUACACGCUAAGACACGUGGACGGUCUAGAACGAACAAAUCAGGGGCGUGAGAGUAGCUCAAUGACGCGGGAUGAGAACGUUCGAAAUCCGACGGGAUGCUCUUAAUAUGAUUGUACAAUAAUCAUCAAUCGAUGCUUGUAAAUGUAUAUCUAAAUAUGUAUGAACUCGUUUGUGUUGCAAGAUAAUACGAAAGAGAGAGUUGAG